UACGUAGGGUGCAAGCGUUGUCCGGAAUUAUUGGGCGUAAAGAGCUCGUAGGCGGUUUGUUGCGUCGGCUGUGAAAUCCCGAGGCUCAACCUCGGGUCUGCAGUCGAUACGAGCAAACUAGAGUGUUGCAGGGGAGACUGGAAUUCCUGGUGUAGCGGUGAAAUGCGCAGAUAUCAGGAGGAACACCUGUGGCGAAGGCGGUUCUCUGGGCAUGAUCUGACGCUGAGGAGCGAAAGUGUGGGGGAGCGAACAGG
rnacentral:rRNA from 1 species